UGAGGAAUUUUGCGCAAUGGGAGCAAUCCUGACGCAGCAACGCCGCGUGGGUGAUGAAGGCCUUCGGGUCGUAAAGCCCUGUCAGGUGGGAAGAAUGUCCCGGGACUGAACAGGUUCCGGGAGUGACGGUACCACCAGAGGAAGCACCGGCUAACUCCGUGCCAGCAGCCGCGGUAAUACGGAGGGGGCAAGCGUUAUUCGGAAUUACUGGGCGUAAAGCGCGAGUAGGCGGUCCUGCAAGUCUGAUGUGAAAUCCCCGGGCUUAACCCGGGAAGUGCAUUGGAAACUGUGAGACUUGAGUACUGGAGAGGAUGGGGGAAUUCCCUGUGUAGAGGUGAAAUUCGUAGAGAUCGGGAGGAAUAGCAGUGGCGAAGGCGCCCAUCUGGACGGUAACUGACGCUGAGACGCGAAAGCGUGGGGAGCAAACA
rnacentral:rRNA from 1 species